rnacentral:lncRNA from 1 species
ACUGUGGAGGUUAUCUGCUAAUAGCAACUCCGAUACUCUUAAACACUAGUUACUGUGCUCAGCCACAAAGCAAUGGUUUGCUUGGCGCUAGUGUGUGCCUGUAAUCCCAGCUCCGAAGGCUGAGGCAGGGGUACACAGUAGAAGCCAGCAAGGUUUUGAAAUGUGCUGUAAUAGGCACCUAAUUUAUUGGUCAGGAAUCCUGGUCCAGCAAUCCUAAGUACCAAUGGCUCCUGCUGUUUACUUUGAUAUUAUUCUGGAUUAAAUGGAAUUCUUACUAUUUAAAUCUCUAUAAUAUUUCCGUAUCAGAAGGGACUAUUUGGUUUUUUAAUUAAACUUGGCUUUUUAAUACUGUAUCAUUUUAUAACCAAUAUUUUUGAUAAAAAGAAAAAAAAACUCAACCAAGUAAGUUAACUUAUUGAAUCAUAAGCUGAAAUUUAGUAAGAAUUAAGUUUUUUAAAAAAAAAAAAUAUAUAUAUAUAUAAUCUAGACACUUUGUAUCUUAUAUUUUUAGAUGAAGUCUGUGCAGUGUGACAGGGAAACAUUUAAUAGCUUUUAGCAUACUAAGAUAUUUUAAAUAGACAUUUCCUAUAUGUACAUAUAAAUUUUUUCAUUAAAAUAAUGUGUUUUGAUACCAGAAUUAGGUUUUAAUGAUCUUAAAAUUAAAAGGGAUGGGGGGUGGCUCAAUGGAUAAGUCAUGUCUAGUACAGGCAUGGGGAUUGGAGUUUGUGUCCCCAUACCUACAUACAAAUCUGGGUGGGCUUGAUGGUCUGCCUGUAGUCCCAGCACUCAGGAGGAAGAGACAGGAUUUCCUGGGACAAGCUGGCUGGCGAGAGGAGCCGAUGGAUGAGAGGCAGCUCUUUUGAGAGACCACCCCUACCUUAGUAAAAAAGGAAGAUUCCCAAAGUCAAUGUCUGUUCUCUCUAUGUACAGACUCAUACAUAUAUCCUGUUCACAUAUGCACACACACACACACACACACACACACACGCACACACACCUAUGAAUGCAUAUAUACACACAGACUCACAUACAUGCAUGCACACCACAUAUAUUGACGCGUACAAAAGAUUAAGAUGGUAUUAAGAGAACCUUUGUGUGAUGCUAUGCACACAUCUCAUCAGGUGACUUGUAUUUCUUUUGCUAGCACACUGUCGAUUUUAAUUAGUCUCCAGAUUAUGUUCAUCUUCAUUAGUAAGGCCAUGUUGUGCUCAGUUUUCCAGUGCCCAGCAGACAGUGUACCUUCUGUUCUGUAGGCAGAUUCUCGUCAGGAAUAUCCAAUGAUUUCAUGACAGCAUAAACACCUUCCACCCACAGGGAUACUUGUAAAUGAUUUAUGUACAGGCUUGUCACUAUUUAAAGUUUAUUAAUGUACUUUGGGAACUUUUAAGGGUGUUAAGUAACUAUGGUAUUACCAGUUAUCCUAAGUUGUAGGAAGGAAAAGCAGGUCUAAGAGGUACACGCUUGUAAUUCCAUUACUUGGAAAGUGGAGGCAGGAGGAUCAGAAAUUCAAGGUCAUGUUCAGCUAUGCACUAGAGACACGCCUCAAAAAAAAUUGUCACUUUGACUCCUCUUUUAUAACUCAGAUGCCCUCCCUUUAAAAUCUGCUUUCCAUCCUCCUCCUCUUCCUUUCUUUUCUUUGUGAGACUGAGGAUCUAUGGUGUCUUACAUUGAUAGAUAAGCAUUGCGACUGAGCUUCCUCCUCGGCCCCUUCAAAUACGGUUUCUAACACAAACAAAAUAGUUGACCCAGACCUGCCAUCAUUGAAUGAGUGAGCAUCGUGGCUGGCUGCUGGCAUUCUCUAGACCUACAUACAGCAAGAGAACCUUGGGUAAAGACCACUGGAUCUUUACCCAAGCAGUAUGCAUAAAAUCAAAGAUCUACUCAGGAUCCCUUACAACAGAAAACCACCAAAAACUUGCCAAACGUUCCGGUUCUGAGCAUCACUAAUGGCAAUAUGUACAUCUUUGAAAGCACCUCUUAGCACUCAAAAGAGAUGCCAGGGGCAUUUCUGUAAUCAGGAAUAUCUAACACACCUUUCAGAGAGGAAGGAUUGUAGCUUUAGAGAGGCUAUUCCCUCAUAGAGAGGGCCGCCGAAACUAUUUCUAGAUCAGUAACUUCUGAGAAUUAAAAGAAAAAUAUAAAUUACACUAUAGGCAGACUAAACCUAUGACUCAGUACAUUGUACAGUUUUAUAAACAUUAUCUUUUGUGCUGGGUAAUCAAGAAUAAAGAUAUUCUCAGACACCUGGCACAAAUUCCCGAAUUAACUUUAGGAUUAUUUAUUUAAGAUAAAGAUUGGGUUUUUUGUUUUUGUCUGCUGUUCAGUAGCAUUUCUCCAACUGUAGUCAUAUAGGGUGAAUUUCUUUGUGUGUGUACCUUGUCUUUCCUAAGCAUAGGUUGUAUGUGAAUAAGUAAUUCAGUUCCAUGGGAACUGAGAGAACACUCAGCAACUCAGAACACUUGGUAUUCUUGCAGAGAACCUGAGUUCUAUUUCCAGCACUCCCGGGGUGGCUCACAAGCAUCCAGAACUCUUGUUUCAGGGUAUCUGAUGCUCGCUUCUGGCCUCCAGAACACAGGCACCAGGCAUUCAUAUUGCACACAUACAGGCAAAACAUUCAUACAUGCAAUCAAUCAAUUAGUAAAUAUCUUUCCCUCCCAAAUUAAAAAAGUUAAAUUCUUUCUGAUGUAUUUUGGUAUUUUCUAAAGGAGCUGAUAAAUCUUUGCCACAAUUUAAAAAACAAGUAUAAUGCAGUUGUACUCACUUCUUUUUACUACUAGUGUGAAAUUACAUAAGGUCUUUUUGUGUUUAAUAUUUAAUAAACCAAAUAUUAAGCAUAAAAUGCUGAUGUACCUGGAAGACACAUGUGUGGUUUCUUAAAAAUAGAAUGUUUUUGUUUUGGAAUGCUUUGCUAAUGUGUAAUUAUAUAAAGCUGAACAGGGACGGGAAGGGAUUUUUUUUUUUUUUUUUUUUUUAAGAUUUAUUUAUUAUUUUAUGUAAGUACACUGUAGCUGUCUUCAGACACACCAGAAGAGGGAGUCAGAUCUUGUUACGGAUGGUUGUGAGCCACCAUGUGGUUGCUGGGAUUUGAACUCUGGACCUUCGGAAGAGCAGUCGGGUGCUCUUACCCACUGAGCCAUCUCACCAGCCCAUGAAGGGAUUCUUUUUACACUCUGCUUCUGGGGAGGUGUUUGAAGAGAGCACCUUCCCAAUGUAUGGACUUUUAGUGCCCUUGGCCUGUCAUCUCCACAAAGUCUCAUCACGCAGAUGCAGCUUGCCUGGCAUUCUCUAGGUAGCCCAGGCUGGCCUUGAGCUCAUAGCAAUCCUCCUGCCUCAGUCUCCUGAGUACUGGGUUUGCAGGUUUCGGGUACCACAUCAGCUUGAUUUCAUAAUGGAUAAAGGAAUAGUUUGGAGAAAAUAAUUUCUUCUGCAGUCUUUUUUAUUUCUGUCUAAUUUAAAAAUCUGUUACUUCCUUAAAAGGAGCUAAUAAAGGUUUUGAUGUAUUCUUACAUCCAAGUUUCAUGCC